AUACAGAGGGUGCGAGCGUUAAUCGGAAUUACUGGGCGUAAAGCGCGCGUAGGCGGCUUAUUAAGUCAGAUGUGAAAUCCCCGGGCUCAACCUGGGAACUGCAUCCGAUACUGGUAAGCUAGAGUUUUGGAGAGGGAAGUAGAAUUUCAGGUGUAGCGGUGAAAUGCAUAGAGAUCUGAAGGAAUACCAGUGGCGAAGGCGACUUCCUGGCCAAAAACUGACGCUGAGGUGCGAAAGCGUGGGUGGCAAACGGGAUUAGAAACCCCGGUAGUCC
rnacentral:rRNA from 1 species